GAUAGGUUAAGUUAAUAAGGGCGCAUGGUGGAUGCCUUGGCACUAGAAGGCGAUGAAGGACGUGACUAACUACGAUAUGCCUCGGUUAGCUGUAAGUAAGCUUACCCGGGGGUUUCCGAAUGGGGCAACCCGAUCUUAAUGAUCAUCAUCUUUUUGAAUUCAUAGAUUAGAUGAAGCAAACACUGUGAACUGAAACAUCUCAGUAGCAGUAGGAAAGUAAAGAAAUUUCGAUUCCGUCAGUAGCGGCGAGCGAACGCGGAAGAGCCCAAACCUGGAUGCUUGCAUCCAGGGGUUGUAGGACUGAUGUUGAGUUACAAAGGUAUAAGAUAGCAGAAACAGUUGGGAAGCUGUUCCAAAGAGGGUGACAGGCCCGUAUGCGAAAUCUUGUACUCUCUAAUCAGGAUCCUGAGUACGGCCCAGCACGUGAAAUUGGGUCGGAAUCUGGGAGGACCAUCUCCCAAGGCUAAAUACUAACUAGUGACCGAUAGCGAACAAGUACCGUGAGGGAAAGGUGAAAAGAACCCCGGAAGGGGAGUGAAAUAGUUCUUGAAACCGUGUGCUUACAAGAAGUUCGAGGCCGUUAAUGGCUGAGAGCGUGCUUUUUGUAGAAUGAACCGGAGAGUUACGAUUGCGUGCAAGGUUAAGGUGCAAAGACUGGAGCCGUAGCGAAAGCGAGUCUUAAUAGGGCGAAUCAGUACGUAGUUGUAGACCCGAAACCGAGUGACCUAUCCAUGGUCAGGUUGAAGGUGGGGUAAUACCUACUGG
rnacentral:rRNA from 1 species